AAAAUGAUAGUACAUGUGUAGGUCUAAUGAAGAGAUCAAUCCAUGGAUAAUGGAUGGAAGAGAUCUACAUGAAUGUUAUGUACCAGACAAGAUCCAUGGAUCACAAGGACUGUGGCCUCCACAAACAUGAACGCAGUGUUACGCUUUCACGCAGUUUUCACCAUGGUCCUCACACAGACACGGAAUGAGAAAGGAAUAGACUGUGAAAAGGUGAGUCCACAGCUUGAUUUUAUCCAUUUACCCGACUGUUAAGUUGACCUUGUGAAGAUUGAUAAAUUUAUUGAUCUCACAGAUAGCUACUAAGCGCAUACCUUACUCAUAUACUCACCCUGUUAGACUGGUUCAACUUUCAAGGUGCAUAUAUAUACACAAGAGAUCAAUUGAGGUAGCCACGCACAUUGAAGUUCAUGUGACACAUGUAAUGUGUUGAUCUGUAACAGUAGAUCAAACUAAUAAGUUUAUAUGGUCUGCCUUAAUUCGAUUAAUAUUCCCAUGUGACUAGAUGUUGUGCCAGUGCUUCCUCCUGUACGUACCUGAUAAAUAACAUGCAUUAUAAUUAUGAUUGGGUAGACACAUUUGCAUGGAUCACCUUCUUACUCGUUCUGAUCAGAUGUUGUGUGUAGGUCCACGCCUGCACCUGUACAUGGCCACAAGGUGCAUGGCUCUCUUUUAAACUUAGAGAUGUUGAUGUAACCUUUCAGUGCUAAGAAAUUAUUUGUUGACUGUGUAUUCAGUGCUAAGAAAUUAUUUGUUGACUGUGUAUUUGGUUCCAUUAUUAUGAAAACAUCAGUUUUCCUUUCGAAAAUAUUGUGCGAUAAUUAUUUAUGCAAGUAACUUGUUUAUCGAUUAAACGCCAUGGUUUCAAUGGGAAUUGUACAGGCUUUGAAUCAAUUGUAGAGCUGCUCGUAUAAAUAGUAUCAUGCGCACAUUAUUAAUUAAUUUCUAGCACUACAGCACUACAUAUGAUAAGAUAUGUGAUAUGUGUAUGCUUAUACCUAUGCAUAAAAUAAUGUUAUUAUUUUGUUAGAAUCUAUAGACUAUAUGUCUCCCUU